rnacentral:tRNA from 1 species
UGAGGUGUGGCUUAGUGGUAAAGCACGUGCCUAGCAAGCAUGAGGCCCUGGGUUCAAACCCUAGCACAUGAA